rnacentral:rRNA from 1 species
UACGAAGGGGGCAAGCGUUGCUCGGAAUCACUGGGCGUAAAGGGCGCGUAGGCGGGAUGGCAAGUCGGUCGUGAAAUCCUUCGGCUCAACCGAAGAACGUCGGCCGAUACUGCCGUUCUUGAGGGAUGCAGAGGAGACUGGAAUUCCCGGUGUAGCGGUGAAAUGUGUAGAGAUCGGGAGGAACACCGGUGGCGAAGGCGGGUCUCUGGGCAUCUCCUGACGCUGAGGCGCGAAAGCGUGGGGAGCAAACGGG